rnacentral:lncRNA from 1 species
AGAACCUUCAGGUUGUCAAGUGAUUAACUUGCCCUUUGGUUCACAGUGUCACCCAAUGGGACCAUGCCAACACAGGCGUCUCACAGAAGAAAAAUAGGUCAGAGCGUCUGAAUGAAAAAACAUGAUGAGAAGACUGGCUUUGAAAGGCUCACAGUAUAAACCAUAGAAGUAUCCCUUAGAGGCUACAUAAACCUUACCUUGCAUAAAGCAUACUUUAGAAAUUUCAACUGGUGUUUUUGAAGUUGAGUGAAGACAUCUCAGAGUUGGUUGGUAAUUCUGAGUCACAGUUUCUCUUUAGAUGCAAUGUUCUAAUAUGUUAAAACAAAG